ACCGAAAUAGUUGGGAGAGCGUUAGUCUAUAGAUUGAAAGGUCCCUGGUUCGAUCCCGGGAUGCGGCA
rnacentral:tRNA from 1 species